GAAGAAAAAAAAUUCCUCCUGAAUGUACCCAAUCUCAUCUGAUCUCAGAAGCUAAGUGGGGUUGAGCCUGGUUAGUAUUUGGAGGGGAAUUUACCUGGGAAUACUGGGUGCUGUA
ensembl:rRNA 5S_rRNA 5S ribosomal RNA